AUUGAACGCUGGCGGCAGGCUUAACACAUGCAAGUCGAGCGGAGCGAGGGUGCUUGCACCUUAGCUUAGCGGCGGACGGGUGAGUAAUGCUUAGGAAUCUGCCUAUUAGUGGGGGACAACAUUCCGAAAGGGAUGCUAAUACCGCAUACGCCCUACGGGGGAAAGCAGGGGAUCUUCGGACCUUGCGCUAAUAGAUGAGCCUAAGUCGGAUUAGCUAGUUGGUGGGGUAAAGGCCUACCAAGGCGACGAUCUGUAGCGGGUCUGAGAGGAUGAUCCGCCACACUGGGACUGAGACACAGCCCAGACUCCUACGGGAGGCAGCAGUGGGGAAUAUUGGACAAUGGGCGGAAGCCUGAUCCAGCCAUGCCGCGUGUGUGAAGAAGGCCUUUUGGUUGUAAAGCACUUUAAGCGAGGAGGAGGCUACUAGUAUUAAUACUACUGGAUAGUGGACGUUACUCGCAGAGUAAGCACCGGCUAACUCUGUGCCAGCAGCCGCCGUAACAC
rnacentral:rRNA from 1 species